UAUGUAGGGGGCAAGCGUUGUCCGGAAUUAUUGGGCGUAAAGAGCGUGUAGGCGGCCAGAUAAGUCCGCUGUGAAAUCUCGAGGCUCAACUUCGAGCUGUCGGUGGAAACUAUCUGGCUAGAGUCCGGAAGAGGAGAAUGGAAUUCCUGGUGUAGCGGUGAAAUGCGCAGAUAUCAGGAAGAACACCCGUGGCGAAGGCGGUUCUCUGGGACGGUACUGACGCUGAGACGCGAAAGCGUGGGGAGCGAACCGG
rnacentral:rRNA from 1 species